rnacentral:lncRNA from 1 species
AGUUGCAUGAAUGAAGGCUGCAUUUUCAUUAGAACAACAUGCAGUUCAACCCCUUCAUGUUUCAAUGAGGGUUCAGAUACCCAGAGGGCUAUGUGAUCAUCCUGGAGCCCACUCUGCUAACAAUUAGCAGAACGGAAGCCUUAAUUUCCAGAAUCUAGUGAACUUGAUGAGUCAAGACCAUUGCAAUUGGAAAUCUGUUCUCCUCUGCUGCUGCAUCCCCCGCUUAAUACUCAAGCCAGAAACCAGGAAGGCUGUGGCUUGCCUUUUCACUUCUUGUGUCCUGUUUAAGAAAUAUCUGCUAUCCCAAGCAUCUGGCAUCUUUCUUGACAUACGUAGCAGUUGCUUUUUGACAGCUUGCUUCUGGAGUGAAUGAAUAAAUUAAUAAAUUUAUUCAUUUGAUAUUCAGUGACAUGUGAUAUUCAGUGAUCCAUUUUGCAGAUAACACUAACAAAGUUGACCUUAGAAUUGGAGUGCCCGGGUUAGAACCUUGCUGGUACCACCUGCUUACUGCAUGCUUCUGAUGUGAGUUCAGGAGAAGCCACUGGCAAGGACAGCAAAGAACAGGAGAACACUCUAGCUUCCCUGAUAGCAUUCAAGGUGCUGUCCAAACUGACUGUGAUGGCACCCUCCAGACAGACAGCGAUGCCACAUGUUCAAGAUGGCAGAAUCACUAACAGCUUCAAUUCCUGAAUGACUGCAGAGCAAAAUUUCUUACCCGCAACAUACACUCUAUUUUCAGCCUCCCUGGACUGUUACAUAAUGAUACAUAAAAAUAUUUCUUGUGUUGAGGCAUCCCAAAUUUGAUCUAUUUGUCAUCACAGUUUAUCCUACGAAUAUAUUUCUGAUCCAAAUAAUGCUAGAUUCAUGAGAGUUUAUAGUCCAGAGAUUUUUUUUUUUUUUUUUUUUUGAGACAGAAUCUCACUGUCUGCCAGGCUGGGGUGCAGUGGCAUAAUCUUAGCUCACUGCAACCUCCGCCUCCUGGGCUCAAGUGAUCCUCCCUCCUUAGCCUCCAUGAAUAGCUGGGACCACAGGUGUGCACCACCCCACCCAGCUAAUUAUUUUGUAUUUUUUGCAGAGACGGGGUUUCACCACAUUGCCCAAGCUGGUCUCAAACUCCUAGACUUAAGGGAUCUUCCCGCCUUGGCCUCCCAAAAUGCUGAAAUUACAUGUGUUAGCCAUAGUAAUAGUUCCUAGCCAUAGUCCAGAGAUAUUUUAAAAACUUUAGUGUGAGUUAUUUCUCUUUGCUAUAAUUCUCUCAUGCAUUUUGAAAACCUUUUCUGCCAUACAGUGGUUUUUGGGAAGUCCUUUUGGACAGACAUAUCACAGGAUGGAGAAACUAAAAAGAGAGAGAAUGCAUUAAAGAAAAAAUAGUACUUCAUAUUUCAGAAAUUACAAAAGGUUGUCAUGCCCCACAGCAUGGUGGGCAGUCAUUUGUAACCCACAGAACAUUGAGUUUCUAAAAUUUGAGUGUUUUUUAACUUACGAAGGCCAACUUUACUGAUGAAGUGGUUACCCCAAAUAUGUGAAAUCCAUAUUUCAAGCACAAUAGCAGGAAAUCGGAAAUGGGUAGGUAUAUUUCUGACUGUCAAAGAGUACAAAGUAAAGAGGGGCCCCUGAAGAGUGACACUACUGGAAAAA